CAGGGAAUAUUAGAAAUGGACGAAAGUCUGAUCUAGCAACACCGCGUGUGCGAAGAAGGCCUUCGGGUCGUAAAGCACUUUUUGGAAGGAAUAGGAAGGAAUGUACUUCCAGAAUAAGUCUUGGCUAACUACGUGCCAGCAGCCGCGGUAACACGUAGGAGGCGAACGUUAUCCGGAUUUACUGGGCGUAAAGCGCGUGUAGGUGGUACUGUAAGUAGGGCGUGAAAGCUCCUGGCUCAACUGGGAGAGGCCGUUCUAAACUACAGAACUAGAGGAUGGUAGAGGGAGGUGGAAUUCCAGGUGUAGCGGUGGAAUGCGCAGAUAUCUGGAGGAACACCGGUGGCGAAGGCGGCCUCCUGGACCAUUCCUGACACUCAGACGCGAAAGCUAGGGUAACAAACGG
rnacentral:rRNA from 1 species